GAUACCUGUAGGGAGAACGAGGGGUUGAGAGGUCAGGGGUUAGAGGUGGCCUUGGGCUGCAGAGAGGCCUGGACGUCCAGGGUAAUCUGGAUACCUGUAGGGAGAACGAGGGGUUGAGAGGUCAGGGGUUAGAGGUGGCCUUGGGCUGCAGAGAGGCCUGGACGUCCAGGGUAAUCUGGAUACCUGUAGGGAGAACGAGGGGUUGAGAGGUCAGGGGUUAGAGGUGGCCUUGGGCUGCAGAGAGGCCUGGACGUCCAGGGUAAUCUGGAUACCUGUAGGGAGAACGAGGGGUUGAGAGGUCAGGGGUUAGAGGUGGCCUUGGGCUGCAGAGAGGCCUGGACGUCCAGGGUAAUCUGGAUACCUGUAGGGAGAACGAGGGGUUGAGAGGUCAGGGGUUAGAGGUGGCCUUGGGCUGCAGAGAGGCCUGGACGUCCAGGGUAAUCUGGAUACCUGUAGGGAGAACGAGGGGUUGAGAGGUCAGGGGUUA